UUUUGCCUACGGGACGCAGCAGUAGGGAAUUUUCGUCAAUGGGCGCAAGCCUGAACGAGCAAUGCCGCGGGAACGAGGAAGGUCUUCGGAUCGAAAAGUUCUGUUGAAGGGGAAAAAGAGCGGAGAGAGGAAAUGAACUCCGAUUGAUAUUACACUUCGAGGAAGUCACGGCUAACUACGUGCCAGCAGUAGCGGGAAUACGUAGGUGGCGAGCGUUAUUCGGGAUGAUUGGGCGUAAAGGGUGCGAAGGCGGCCUGCUAAGUCUGG
rnacentral:rRNA from 1 species